UACGUAGUGUGCGAGCGUUAAUCGGAAUUACUGGGCGUAAAGCGUGCGCAGGCGGUUGUGCAAGACAGAUGUGAAAUCCCCGGGCUUAACCUGGGAACUGCAUUUGUGACUGCACAGCUGGAGUGCGGCAGAGGGGGAUGGAAUUCCGCGUGUAGCAGUGAAAUGCGUAGAUAUGCGGAGGAACACCGAUGGCGAAGGCAAUCCCCUGGGCCUGCACUGACGCUCAUGCACGAAAGCGUGGGGAGCAAACAGG
rnacentral:rRNA from 1 species